rnacentral:rRNA from 1 species
CCUACGGGAGGCAGCAGUGGGGAAUUUUGGACAAUGGGGGCAACCCUGAUCCAGCCAUUCCGCGUGAGUGAAGAAGGCCUUCGGGUUGUAAAGCUCUUUCGCAAGGGAAGAAAACUUAUGAUCGAAUAAAUCAUGAGGUUGACGGUACCUUGAUAAGAAGCACCGGCUAACUACGUGCCAGCAGCCGCGGUAAUACGUAGGGUGCGAGCGUUAAUCGGAAUUACUGGGCGUAAAGCGUGCGCAGGCGGUUUUGUAAGUCGGAUGUGAAAUCCCCGGGCUCAACCUGGGAACUGCGUUCGAAACUGCAAGGCUAGAGUGUGUCAGAGGGGGGUAGAAUUCCACGUGUAGCAGUGAAAUGCGUAGAGAUGUGGAGGAAUACCAAUGGCGAAGGCAGCCCCCUGGGAUAACACUGACGCUCAUGCACGAAAGCGUGGGGAGCAAACAGGAUUAGAUACCCUGGUAGUCCACGCCCUAAACGAUGUCAACUAGUUGUUGGUAGAGUAAAAUCUAUGAGUAACGUAGCUAACGCGUGAAGUUGACCGCCUGGGGGAGUACGGUCGACAAGAAUUAAAACUACGAAAAGGAAUUGACGGCGNGAGACGNGACGAGACGACGACGAGGAGGAGG